ensembl:snRNA U6 U6 spliceosomal RNA
GUAUUCACUUGGGCAGGUCACAUACUGAAAUUGGAGUUAGCACGGCCCCUGUGCAAGAAUGACAAGCAAAUCUGUGAAGCGUUCAUAUUUUUG